rnacentral:rRNA from 1 species
CAGUCGCCACGGGAAUACGAAGGGGGCUAGCGUUGUUCGGAAUUACUGGGCGUAAAGCGCACGUAGGCGGAUAUUUAAGUCAGGGGUGAAAUCCCAGAGCUCAACUCUGGAACUGCCUUUGAUACUGGGUAUCUUGAGUAUGGAAGAGGUGAGUGGAAUUCCGAGUGUAGAGGUGAAAUUCGUAGAUAUUCGGAGGAACACCAGUGGCGAAGGCGGCUCACUGGUCCAUUACUGACGCUGAGGUGCGAAAGCGUGGGGAGCAAACAGGAUUAGAUACCCCCGUAGUCCCUGUCUCUUAUAC